rnacentral:lncRNA from 1 species
GAACGACGCGCGGAAUGCCUAACGGUUCAGUGUCUUCCUAGAGACGGCCGCAAGCACUCCAAGAGCCAGAGGAACGUGGUGUCGAUACUUCUUUUUCAUGGUGUGUGUUUUAUUCUGUCGACAAAACCCGGAAACCCCCCCCCCCCGUGGCGGCGUGCGGCCACUGUGGUGUGCCUGCUUCUCCCCGUCUUUCCACAUGAGAGAAACAGGUAUGGCUGUGGUCACAGCAGGUUCGGAAACGGGAGACGCCGUCUUUCCCGGUAAAGUAGACUGUGGAGAAGGGAAGGACCAAUACCUAAGACGAUCAGCGAAGGCGGGCGGAACAUCGCAGCAAGUACAACUCGAGCGCAUUAGCAGGCACGACGGCCACCAACGAAGGAGGCGGAUUCGCUACUGAAGUUCCAGCAAAGAUUUUUCCCUCCUGCACAGCAAAGUGCGUGAAGCCCGAGUAGUAGACGCUAGAAAGACUCUGGGAUCCGCCCGUGGUGUCUGCUAGUUCGCCUACAUGAACGCAGACGAUAGAAAAGCUCCUCCGCUACUCUGCUGACCACACCUGCUGGAAUGCGAGUGCCAACGAGGGGUCAGUGUCAUUCGCCUUGGCAACUGUGGAAUUCACCAGUUUCCUUUCUUUUCAGAUGCGCUGUCUUCCGCACAAUACCAUCAUACCGGACACGUAGCGACAAGUACAGCCUUUUCGGUGGCGUUAGCCGGGUCACGAAAUCUCCUUCCCUCGGAAGCGCAUUCGGAUUGUUGUCUUCCUAAGAGGCGAUAGUGGUAAAGCGGUUGUCCUCCGUAGGUCAAAUAGCUAUGAAGCGCCGCGUGUGGACUGAAGUCGUCACGUUCUCGCUCCGUCAGGUACAGCAUCCUCGACGGUUCGCCGUAGUAUUGGCAGUACCAGCGGAGCCCCCUUCUUUUGAAAGGUGCCAUGUACACGCAAACAUGGCGAGAGGCAUGUGGCACAGGCAACUCUCCAGGAAAUAUCUCUGCUGCGAGCCGGAGAGCACCCGCAGCGCUCAAUUAUGUCUGUGCAUAUCGGGGUCUAACACUUGUUCUCUAGGUGCUUGUCUGGGCGAAGGGAACUUCAAAUUGUUCCAUACUCCGGGGAGGAGUGAGGCUCUUUUCCGUUGUAACCGUGUGAUGAGCUACACGUAACGCUGUCAUCUAAUAUGCACAGCUUAUCUUGGGCAGAAGAGUUUUUUGUGCAUCUUUUUGUUGGCCGCCAGUGCAACAGACGCCUACAGCAGCAAAUGCUUCAUGCGGCAGCCUGGAAUGUCACAGCUGGUGCUGCAUGGGAAAAGAACAGGAGAUAUUCGAGUUCGUCUGAAGCUAGCUGAUGCCUACAAUGACCGGUCACCUCGAUUAAGGGUGCCGAGCUAGCGUUUCUGAGGUUCUGCCCGGUUUUGUCGUUGUUCUCGGGAGUCUGUGCGAGCUGUACCUCCUCAACAGAUGUUGCUGGAAAUGGUGGUCACGUUACCUAAAUUCAGAAAACUUGGGUACUCCAGCACCACAAAAAUCCUCGAUCAGAACAGCCGGGCCUUGCUCUUCUGAACGGGAUAGCUGCGGAUACAGGCGAUGCCUAGGCUUUCAACGAUGCAUCUUGCAGGGGCGGGAAACAAGAGUUCUUCAUGGAGACGCAUAGCAAGUGCCCAGGCAAAAUGUCGACACAGGAUCAUGUGUUUCUGGGGACCCAUCUGCCCAUUGCAGGGUUUGAAAUUACAGGUCACCAUCUGAAACGUCUUUCCACAAGCGGCAUACAGGUGCUGUCUAUUUUCUCCUGAGUAGAAAGAAGCCACCGACGCCACGUGUCCUUACGGAAGCGAAUACGCUUGGUAUCUGAACGACUGGCGCGCAGAACAUGUGUUGUGAGAACUUGAUUCCCUUCCAGUUCUGUCUCCAAUUUCGAUGUUCACCGCGGAAGCACGUCAAAUGCUUUUUUUUGCUUGACUGGGGACACUUACACGUGGCAACCGGGGGACGGGCCACCCCUGAUUCUGAUCUGCGCAUCCGGGUCUCAACGGGCGACACUGCCAUCGGCAAGAAAACUGUCUGUUGCGGGGGACUGCAGGAAAUCCCCCCCUUCUUUGGGCCUGAGGUAUUUCAGAAACAUCCGUGCCGCCGAUUUUCAACUCGUCUCUUCUGCCUAUCAAAGGUGAUGCUCGACGCCUCUUUCUCCGCGAUUCACUACGUAGACAUGGAGCAGUCCAUGUAGCGAAUGAUUCCAGUGCCGAGCAAAGGUCUGUUCUUCUUUGUCUGCAUGUGAGUCGCAGCUUCCAACUGUUUUCGCAAGCUGCUAGUGUUUGGAUCUUUCUACUUCCAAGGCAGCCCAGAGAGAGCGUCGUCUAUCCUUGUCAUAAUGACAGCCAACAGCCAGGGUCGACUAUCGAUCUAGUCCGGUGCUCCAUCAGCCC